CACUAUUGCAGAUGGAGCUAAUUUCAAAAGUAAGAAGCCCAUUUAUUGUGGAUUAUAAAGAUUCCUGGGUUGAAAAGGAGCAGAGUGAAGAGCUUGCGCAUACUUUUGUGGACUAGAUUGACUCUGAGAAUAGCUGCCUAGGCUAUAUGGUUUCAGGGUCUAAAGCUAAUAGUGCUUCAAUUCAUCAAAGUGCUGCUAUAAAUAGCAGUAGAGUUGUCCAUGCCCAAGAGUUUGAUGUUUCAGUAACAAUGUUGAAUAUUGCAAUCAUUCUCUACCAUAUCCAUGAGUAUGCACAUUCAUUAUCUGUUCUCAAAAAGCUGUUCC